GGGAGAGGGAGAAUGGCAUUCCAGGUGUAGCGGUGGAAUGCGUAGAUAUCUGGAAGCACACCAGUUACGAAGGCGGUCUUCCUGGACCAAUACAGCACGCCUGAUGCAUCGAAAGCUGGGGGAGCGCACAGGAUUAGAUACCCUGGUAGUCCCAGCCGUAGACGAUGGACACUAGUUGCCGGAGGAGUCAAUCCCUUCGGUGCUGGAGCUAACGCAUUUAGUGUCCCGCUUGGGGAGUACGCUGACAAGGGUGACACUCAAAGGAAUUGACGGGGGCCCGCACAAGCGGUGGAGCAUGUGCUGUAAUUCGAUGCAACGCGAGGAACUUUACCUGGGUUUGACAUGGGGGUGAAAGUUUCCAGAGAUGGAAGCCUUUCCUUCGGGAACACCCCACACAGGUGAUGCAUGGUUGUCGUCAGCUCGUGUCGUGAGAUGUUGGGUUAAGUCCCCCUAAGAGCGCAACCCCUGCCCAUAGUUGCCAUCAGGGCAAGAUGGGCACUCAUAAGGGCACAGCCUUGGUAUAUACCAGGACGGUAAAGUGGGGAUCACGUCAAAUCAUCACGGCUCUUACGCCCAGGCGCUAUACUACGCGCUACAAUGCCAGGCACAGUGGGACGCCAGCCUGCGAAGCUGAGCUAAUCCCAUAAAACCUGUCUCAGUCCAGACUGCGAGUCUGCAACUACGACUCCAUGAAGCUCGAAUCGCUAGUUAUCACGGAUCAGCAUGCCACGGUGUAUACGAUCCCGGGCUAGUGUACACACCGCCCGU
rnacentral:rRNA from 1 species